rnacentral:misc_RNA from 1 species
UCCGGUUUGUCACCGGCAGUCUCCUUAGAGUUCCCGACUUUACUCGCUGGCAACUAAGGACAAGGGUUGCGCUCGUUGCGGGACUUAACCCAACAUCUCACGACACGAGCUGACGACAGCCAUGCAGCACCUGUGCACGCUGGUAUUGCUACCUCGUCCCCCUUUCAGGGUUCUACUACAUGCAUGUCAAGGCCAGGUAAGGUUCUUCGCGUUGCAUCGAAUUAAGCCACAUACUCCACCGCUUGUGCAGGCCCCCGUCAAUUUCUUUGAGUUUUAAUCUUGCGACCGUACUCCCCAGGCGGCAUAUUUAUCGCGUUAGCUUCGCCACAAACGGGGUCGAUUCCGUUUACAGCAAAUAUGCACAGUUUAGGGCUAGGACUAC